CCUACGGGGGGCAGCAGUAGGGAAUUUUCGUCAAUGGGCGCAAGCCUGAACGAGCAAUGCCGCGUGAACGAGGAAGGUCUUCGGAUCGUAAAGCUCCGUUGAUGGGGAAAAAGAGCGGAGAGAGGAAAUGCUUUCUGAUUGAUAUUACCCUUCGAGGAAGUCACGGCUAACUACGUGCCAGCAGCCGCGGUAAUACGUAGGUGGCGGGGGUUAUCCGGAGUGAUUGGGCGAAAGGGGUGCGUAGGCGGCCUGCUAAGUCUGGAGUGAAAGGUACCGGCUCAACCGGUACAGGCUCUGGAAACUGGCGGGCUAGAGGGCAGGAGAGGGCGGUGGAACGCCAUGUGUAGCGGUAAAAUGCGUAGAUAUAUGGAAGAACACCAGUGGCGAAGGCGGCCGCCUGGCCUGUUACUGACGCUGAGGCACGAAAGCGUGGGGAGCAAAUAGGAUUAGAUACCCUUGUAGUC
rnacentral:rRNA from 1 species